GUUUGUCACGUGAUAUUAGUUCGCUAAGUCUCACGACAGAUGGCGUUGAACCACUUCCUUCCAUCCCUCCUUCCUCAAGAGGGGAGUUUGGUGGGUUUCUUUUGGCUUACGGGAGAACGGAGUUUUUUGACGAUCGCAGACGUAUUUCAGCAUAUUUCAGCGCAACGUUGCGCGUGUGUGUGUGCAUGCAUGUAUUACCACGAUUCCGGUCGGAGCAUUGUAUGAGAGCGUAAGAAUGACAAGCCGUCCAUAUCAAGAACGCGCGUGAGCGGGUAAUUGCACAGAAUCGCCCAUCGAACAUAUGAUUGUACGGAGGACGCGCGUUGAAGUAAAUGUCAAGCUCAGGAAUGAAUAGCGAUUGCGUUUUUCGCAUCGUUUCGACUUUGCUCCGAGCGCUCGUGUGAUUUGUAAAAAAUGACGAAGCGCGCCUCGCUCGUGUGUCAGCAGUGAGGCUUCGCGAGCAGUGAUUUAUCACAAGUGACAAUCCCUGAGGAACGUGGCACGGCUUCGGCGGACAAACAUGAGUUCCGUUUGGAAACGUCUUCAGCGGGUGAAUAAGAGGGCCGCCAAGUUCCAGUUCACCGUUUCAUACCACGAAGUCACGUUAGAGACGACGACGAAAUGGAAACCAAACAAGCUAAGUGUUGUUUGGACAAGACGUAGCAGGAGAGUUAGUUCGGAACCCUUAGACUGGGAACCAAUUUUGAGCGAUCCGUUGAAAGGUGUUAUUAGCUGGGCAGUUCCUGACAAUCAUACAGUUUCCGUGACGUUAUUUAAAGAUCCAAGAACACACGAACUAGAAGAUAAAGAUUGGUCAUUUGUCAUUGAAGAUGUGUCGUCGACGGGAAAAAGGCGUCAUGUGGCCACCACGAAUAUAAAUAUGAAAAAAUACGCAACCCUGGAAUCUAGUCAGCAACAGCUCAAAUUAGACUUAAAGCCGACUUCUAAAAAGAUCGUUAGCGCUACACUCGAAUGUACUUUAUCAUGUGUGUUUCUGCGAGAGGGCAAGGCAACGGACGAAGAUAUGCAAAGUAUGGCUAGUUUAAUGUCGGUUAAUAAUAAUAGCGAUAUUGCGCCCUUAGAUGAUUUUGAUAACGAAGACAUACCGGAAGAUGUCGAAGAAGUAUCGGUCAAAAAUUUGGAUGAGAUUCUAGAUAUCUCAGCUCAACUCGAUUUAAUGACGAGUAGUCUCACCGAAAGUGAACUACCUAGCACUCCUAUAAGCGUGGCGAGCUUAUCAAAGGACGACACAACUCCUGUGAACGACGGAGAACAUUUUAUACGCGAUAUUAGUCUAACAAAAAUUGGGGAAUCUUUAAAAGAAAAGUCACCUAUAAAAGACAGUGUUGCUGUUGAAAAUGACAAAAACAUCGAGCACAGCGUACUGAGAUUGCCGUUGCAGCCAUUAGAUCUUAAGAAAAAUGACGCAAACGUUCCGAGAUUGAAGGAAAUUACUCCUGGUCAAGAUUUAUUAGAAUGGUGCAAAGAAGUCACUAAGGAUUAUCCUGGUGUCAAAGUCACCAAUCUGACGACGUCUUGGCGAAACGGAAUGGCAUUCUGCGCGAUUAUUCAUCAUUUCAGACCCGAUUUGAUAGACAUCGAUUCCUUAUUAUCGCACGACGUAAAAGGCAACUGUAAGAAAGCAUUUGACGCGGGCGAAGCUCUAGGCAUACCCAGAGUUAUAGAACCAGCAGAUAUGGAUAUAUUAACUGUACCUGAUAAACUAGCUGUGAUGACGUAUUUGUAUCAAUUGAGAGCGCAUUUUACCGGCCACGAACUGGAGGUACACCAAAUAGGAAAAACAACGGACGAAUCCUCUUACAUGAUCGGUAGGUUUAACACAGACAACAAUACAGACGUGAGUGUCCAGCUGUUUGGCCAAGAAAUCAUUAACUUACGAAAGAAGGAACAGAUUGAUCAGAAGAACAAUAAAGCGGACAAUCGACGGUCAAAUCCGUUCGACAAUAAGAAGGACGAUAUCUGUAUCGACUCUUUAAAGAACAAGCUGCACUUGAGUCUGAACACGCAGGACACACAGGAUCACGAUCAGUGCAACAAGGACAAAUCGCCGUCCAGCGUGAAGGAUGUCAAGGACAUUAUAUUGGCCAGUUCGAAGAGCAUUCUGGGCAAGGUGUUGUCGCCGACCAAGGAGAAGUACUCGUCGAGAGAGAAAAGCAAGUCGCCGCCGAGAGUGCAACAAGCGCAGCAACGUCCGAUACUUAUGACACGCCGGCAAUUAACCGAUCCGUUCGGCUCCGACGACGAGGAGGAGAACAUACAGAUAAUCGACGACAAAUGGUCGCAAUCGAUCUCGAUUACCAAAUCGCAAAGUCCGGAUUCGGUAAACUCCGACGAUAGAGGAAGUCGAGGUAGUUCCGAGUGUCAAGCUGCAUCGCCGCCGUACGGAGACCAACGUUCGCAACAUCCAUUAGUUAGCCGACAUGAUGAGUUGCGAGAGCGUGCGAGAUUACUUCUAGAACAAGCCAGAAACCAGACGAAACCAGCCGGGUUUGUUUCCGCUGCGAUCAGUCCCGUCGAGAUACAGAACGAUGACGAGAGACAGCAGCAAUUGCGGGAAAGAGCGAGACGCUUGAUAGCGGAAGUGAAAAUGGGCGUCACUGUGACUCCGAGUCAACUGAACGACGACAAUAGCAGUGAUCGACGAUCGAUAGACGAUCAGAAUAAUAGUCCUAGACGUAGCAUCACGCCGUCAACGCCCGGUGAUAGACUCAGUAUUAAGUCUGAGUACAAUGGAAAUAUACUGGGAAACACAAGUGUGAUAGAUGGAGAGAAGAAAGCCGGUUCGCCUUUGUAUUCCUUUUCCAAAAUCAUAGAAAGAAUUUCGCCCGACAAAGGAAGUCCUGACAGAACUCCGUACACACUUCGCGGGUUGGGCAAAGACAUGACAUCGUAUAUACAAAACGAGCUCGAGGCGCUCGAACGAGAGCAAAAUCAGAUUGACAUACAGGCUGGCAAGCUUGAGAAGCAAUUGAGAGCAGCAAUGGAAAGCGAUAACGAGGAUGAAACGGAAAGACUGAUGUCUUUGUGGUUCACUCUUGUUAACAAGAAGAAUGCGCUCUUGAGAAGGCAAAUGCAACUAAACAUACUGGAAAAGGAAGAUGAUUUAGAGCGACGAUUCGAACUUCUGAAUCGCGAAUUAAGAAGCAUCCUCGCAGUGGAAGAGUGGCGGAAGACAUCCGAGCAAAAAAUGCGUGAAAAUUUAUUGUUGGAAGAAUUAGUGUCGAUCGUGAACAAAAGAGACGAAUUGGUGCAUCAUUUAGAUACGCAAGAGAGAGCCAUCGAGGAUGAUGACGAGAUAGAACGCGACUUAUCGCGCGCUGGAUUAGCUCAACGAAACAAAAAUUGUGUUGUGCAGUGAAGAGUUAUUAUCUAUUAUAUAUUUUCGACACUAUUUUGAAGGCAUGACCCAUUUUGCUGUGCUUGCCAAAGAGUCGAUGAAAUUAGACAUUGAAGAAUAGAACUAUUACGGGAUAGAUAGAGCUUAGGAUCUUUCGCUUGAUGUUUUUGUAAAGUUAAAUAAAAGUGGCAUCAUAAUGAA
rnacentral:misc_RNA from 1 species